UACGGAGAGUGCAAGCAUUAAUCGGAAUUAUUGGGCGUAAAGGGCGCGUAGGCGGAAAGAUAAGUCAGAUGUGAAAUUCCAAAGCUCAACUUUGGAGCUGCAUUUGAAACUGCCUUUCUAGAGGGUUGACGGAGAAAACGGAAUUCCACGUGUAGCGGUGAAAUGCGUAGAUAUGUGGAAGAACAUCGGUGGCGAAAGCGGUUUUCUAGUUUAUACCUGACGCUGAGGCGCGAGAGCAAGGGGAGCAAACAGG
rnacentral:rRNA from 1 species